rnacentral:rRNA from 1 species
AGUAGGGAAGAAGCGAAAGUGACGGUACCUGCAGAAGAAGCGCCGGCUAACUACGUGCCAGCAGCCGCGGUAAUACGUAGGGCGCAAGCGUUAUCCGGAAUUAUUGGGCGUAAAGAGCUCGUAGGCGGUUUGUCGCGUCUGCCGUGAAAGUCCGGGGCUCAACUCCGGAUCUGCGGUGGGUACGGGCAGACUAGAGUGAUGUAGGGGAGACUGGAAUUCCUGGUGUAGCGGUGAAAUGCGCAGAUAUCAGGAGGAACACCGAUGGCGAAGGCAGGUCUCUGGGCAUUAACUGACGCUGAGGAGCGAAAGCAUGGGGAGCGAACAGGAUUAGAUACCCUGGUAGUCCAUGCCGUAAACGUUGGGCACUAGGUGUGGGGGACAUUCCACGUUUUCCGCGCCGUAGCUAACGCAUUAAGUGCCCCGCCUGGGGAGUACGGCCGCAAGGCUAAAACUCAAAGGAAUUGACGGGGGCCCGCACAAGCGGCGGAGCAUGCGGAUUAAUUCGAUGCAACGCGAAGAACCUUACCAAGGCUUGACAUGAACCGGUAAGACC